GACGAACCGUCCAAACGUUAUUCGGAUUCACUGGGCUUAAAGGGUGCGUAGGCGGCUCAGAAAGUAGGGUGUGAAAGCCCUCGGCUCAACCGAGGAAUUGCGCCCUAAACUACUGGGCUUGAGGAACGCAGAGGUAAGCGGAACUUACGGUGGAGCGGUGAAAUGCGUUGAUAUCGUAAGGAACACCAGGAGCGAAAGCGGCUUACCGGGCGUUUUCUGACGCUGAGGCACGAAAGCCAGGGGAGCGAACGGG
rnacentral:rRNA from 1 species